GUACAGAGGAUAUAGUAUGAUGCAAGAAUGGCCAUACACGUGGGACCAACACUGUGAGCGACUGCUGAAUACUAGUACACGAAGGAGUGAUGGAGAGGCAGCGAGAAGAGAAUGCUGAGAUCCAUGAAGCAGUGUGCAGUAUGAGGUCUCUACUGAAUGCAAGUCUUGCUGCGGCACAAUCAGAAUUUACCUUUAAGAAUAGAAAGGAUAUAAUAAGAAUUCUGUUCAAAUAUCACACCUCCACAAAGCUGGAAUUUACACAGCAGUGAAGCUCAUCUACAUCCGCCUGAUGAAAUAAGGCUACAGGUUCUUAUGGAAAACAUUACAAGAAGUUCCCCAGUACCGAAAAGGCAGAUAGAGAUAUUCCAGAAAACACUGUUCCCUCAGAAUGUUCGGGAAACACUUACAGGCAAGGAGCACCAACGUAAAGUAGUGAAGUUCAACAGGUAAAAAAAAAAAACACUUUUUACACUACAGUCGCCAGAAGGUUUUCAGUGGCUGAAUCAAUUUUUCAACUUGGCUGAAUCAAACACUCUUAGAAAGUUGUUACAGCCUCACUUAAUUAUUUAGAUGGCAAUGAAAUACUAAGUUUAUUUUCAUUAAAAAGUACAAAGCUUUCAGAUUUUGCAAAUACAUUCACUCUAGCAUACUUCUUUUUCAGGGAAACGUUUUUCACUGCUCAUCCUCUUGGUACUCUCAAAACCACAAAGAAUAUUUGAUAGUAGAAAAAUUAAGCAAAAGUCACUUUAGUAACAUGAGGAUUAAUGUUACAACAGUCAAAUUCUUAGUAAUUCAAAAACCACAAAGAAAUGGUAUUCACUAAUUUUACACAGUACUGAAGGAAUUCUUCGUGUAGCACAUCUAAGAGAUACCAGUGUAAGAAUAUGUUCCAUGCCCAGAGGACACAUUCCAUGCAACGUGCCUCCUAGUUUAAGAUAGAUAAAUUCAGUACUAAUUGAUUAAGAUCUCAAACAGUAUAAGCAUACAGAAAAUACUACCCAACCUAACAAAACCCACGACAUGUAUCCAGACUGCAAGAUGUGGUCAGUUAAAGAAAUUAAAUUGUACCAAAGAGAAGUUUAAUCAAACCUGUGCAUAGUUUAAUUUUAUGUCUUUCACAUCACAAACUACUGUGAUUCUGUGAUCGUCUUAAAAAGAUUCUAAAUGCAGUGAACUAUUAUUAGAUGUACGUCUAAUCUGAACUAUUGUUAGAAUUAAUGAGAAAAUCAAGCUUAACACCAACUCCAGCCUCUGGCUAUUUUUAAUAACUCAGGAAAUUAAAAAUGCUUGCUCUCAAACUUGCAGGCAGAAUCAGAGAAUGGGCUGCUUCUGGGAAUAGAGAAACUAGUACCAACACCAAUAGAACAUACAGCAUGCUUUGCAACAGGGGGAUUCAUUCAUCAAGCAGCCAAAGGCCAUACUCACGUAUACACAUUUAUAAACAUUUUAAAGGAAGGCAGAAGUAAAGUAUCCCAAGCACAGAAGACCAGUCAGGUCAUGCAGCUGGAUGCUG